UACGUAGGGGGCAAGCGUUGUCCGGAAUCAUUGGGCGUAAAGAGCGUGUAGGCGGUCCGGUAAGUCGGCUGUGAAAGUCCAGGGCUCAACCCUGGGAUGCCGGUCGAUACUGCCGGACUAGAGUUCGGAAGAGGCGAGUGGAAUUCCCGGUGAAGCGGUGAAAUGCGCAGAUAUCGGGAGGAACACCUAUGGCGAAGGCAGCUCGCUGGGACGUUACUGACGCUGAGACGCGAAAGCGUGGGGAGCAAACAGG
rnacentral:rRNA from 1 species